GCCAUGGAGAUUGUGUGGUAUUUAUUAGGCAUAAAUUGGCACACAAAAAUGGGAGAUCAGAGCUGGGUAGGGUUUGUUUUUUUCUCCUUUGCUCCAUGGCUUUGGAUACUUGUUUAUAUCCCCUCCCACAUCAGAAUUCCCACACAUUCCCACCCACCUUCCCAAUGGCUGACACGCAGGUAUACCUCGUUAGUUAAUUAGAAUUACUUUUAAUUAAAAAUAUAUGUAAAUUAUAUAGAGUGUGCACAGCUUGGAGAGGAAAAAAAAAAAAAAAGAAGAAAAGAAAGCAAACUUCCAUUUCAAUAAAAAUUUUAACCUCUUGGAAUCAGCUGCUUUUGUGACAUCCUUGGAGUUAUUGGAACUCCCACGUAUAAAUAAAUAGGACCAGGAAAUUUUACACCUGAAAUAUUCUGCAAUAGACAUUUUUCCUUGCACAUAUUUGCUUUUCCUUCUCUUUUUGAUUCCACCACUCCCAGCUUCUCAUGAUCACUUUCUGCCCCUUUUAAACACAUUUAUUUAAUAUCUCACUUCACACACCCAGACUGAUAUCCCUUUUUUUUUUUUUUUUCUUUUUCUUUUGGAGAGGGAGCAAAGGAACACGGGAGAAAAUGAAAGCCUGGGACUGCAAACAAGCGUCAUCAUCGUUUUGGACUCAAGCUGGAGAUGUUUUCAAGCUUGGAAAUAACCCCACGCUUCCGUCAGAGACGGCUGAAGAACCAGGAAAGACCGAGAGAUGGGAAGGGAAGAGGAGUGAGAGAAUUACAAGUGUGAAAGGAGAAGAGGGGAUGGUUUAUGGAAUGGUUACUGGAGAGAAUUUUUGGGUAUUUGUAAGGAAACAUAGCUCCCUGUGGGAGUAAUUCCACUCUUGGUACAAUGCCUAGGUGAGGAAGGUACUGGAUUUAUUCAUUUGGGGGUUCUCAGUACCUCUUUCUGUUGAAAAGUAAAGAUAAUGCUAAUUAAAAAAAAAAAAAAAACAAACACCACUCCAAAAUCCACCCUUGGUAAAAAGGGCCGGUGUCUUUUUUUCUUUUUUUUCUGAGAAAAUGGAAAGAAAAAAUAUAUAUAUUAUUAUUUAUUAUAUAACAUU
rnacentral:lncRNA from 1 species